rnacentral:rRNA from 1 species
CAACCUGCCGCUUACUCGGGGAUAGCCUUUCGAAAGAAAGAUUAAUACCCGAUGGUAUAAAGAGUUCGCAUGUUCUCUUUAUUAAAGAAUUUCGGUAAGCGAUGGGGAUGCGUUCCAUUAGAUAGUUGGCGGGGUAACGGCCCACCAAGUCUACGAUGGAUAGGGGUUCUGAGAGGAAGGUCCCCCACAUUGGAACUGAGACACGGUCCAAACUCCUACGGGAGGCAGCAGUGAGGAAUAUUGGUCAAUGGACGAGAGUCUGAACCAGCCAAGUAGCGUGAAGGAUGACUGCCCUAUGGGUUGUAAACUUCUUUUAUAAGGGAAUAAAGUGAGGGACGUGUCCCUUUUUGUAUGUACCUUAUGAAUAAGGAUCGGCUAACUCCGUGCCAGCAGCCGCGGUAAUACGGAGGAUCCAAGCGUUAUCCGGAUUUAUUGGGUUUAAAGGGAGCGUAGGUUGACAUAUAAGUCAGCUGUGAAAGUUUACGGCUCAACCGUGAAAUUGCAGUUGAUACUGUAUGUCUUGAGUGUACAAGAGGUGGGCGGAAUUCGUGGUGUAGCGGUGAAAUGUUUAGAUAUCACGAAGAACUCCGAUUG